rnacentral:misc_RNA from 1 species
AAGUCGUAACAAGGUUUCCGUAGGUGAACCUGCAGAAGGAUCAUUAAAAAGUUUGUCACACUAGUGACCUACUCUUGUGCAUUGUUUAACCGCUUUGGCAGUUUAGUUUCUAGUCUUCUGGAAACGUCCGAUCUUUACGGAUCGGGGGCUGCCAAUAGAUGUGCAAAAUCUCUUGCGCAUUCUUAAACAAAAACACUAUAUUUCUUUUUUACUAAAGUCUGAUACAAUAAAUGUGAUUUUAAUCAUAAAUUUAUUAAAAACUUUUGACAACGGAUCUCUUGGCUCUC